rnacentral:rRNA from 1 species
UACAGAGGGUGCGAGCGUUGUCCGGAAUCACUGGGCGUAAAGGGCGCGUAGGUGGCGACCCAAGUCGAUGGUGAAAGCUCGCCGCUCAACGGCGAGUCGGCCACCGAUACUGGGUUGCUGGAGCACUGUAGAGGCUCAUGGAAUUCCGGGUGUAGCGGUGGAAUGCGUAGAGAGUCCGGAAGAACACCGGUGGCGAAGGCGGUCUGCUGGGCAGUUGCUGACACUGGAGGCGCGACAGCGUGGGGAGCAAACAGG